UACGUAGGGGGCAAGCGUUGUCCGGAUUUAUUGGGCGUAAAGAGUGUGUAGGCGGCUAGGUAGGUCUGCUGUGAAAACUCGAGGCUUAACCUCGAGAUGUCGGCGGAAACCAUCUGGCUAGAGUCCGGAGGAGGAGAGUGGAAUUCCUGGUGUAGCGGUGAAAUGCGCAGAUAUCGGGAAGAACACCCGUGGCGAAGGCGGCUCUCUGGGACAGUACUGACGCUGAGACGCGAAAGCGUGGGGAGCGAACAGG
rnacentral:rRNA from 1 species